rnacentral:rRNA from 1 species
CCUACGGGAGGCAGCAGUGGGGAAUAUUGGGCAAUGGGCGCAAGCCUGACCCAGCAACGCCGCGUGAAGGAAGAAGGCUUUCGGGUUGUAAACUUCUUUUCUCAGGGACGAAGAAAGUGACGGUACCUGAGGAAUAAGCCACGGCUAACUACGUGCCAGCAGCCGCGGUAAUACGUAGGUGGCAAGCGUUAUCCGGAUUUAUUGGGUGUAAAGGGCGUGUAGGCGGGAGCGCAAGUCAGAUGUGAAAACUCAGGGCUCAACCCUGAGCCUGCAUUUGAAACUGUGUUUCUUGAGUGCUGGGGAGGCAAUCGGAAUUCCGUGUGGAGCGGUGAAAUGCGUAGAUAGACGGAGGAACACCAGUGGCGAAGGCGGAUUGCUGGACAGUAACUGACGCUGAGGCGCGAAAGCGUGGGGAGCAAACAGGAUUAGAUACCCGUGUAGUC